rnacentral:rRNA from 1 species
AACGAACGCUGGCGGCAUGCCUAACACAUGCAAGUCGAACGAGAUCUUCGGGUCUAGUGGCGCACGGGUGCGUAACGCGUGGGAAUCUGCCCUUUGGUUCGGAAUAACAGUUGGAAACGACUGCUAAUACCGGAUGAUGACGAAAGUCCAAAGAUUUAUCGCCAGAGGAUGAGCCCGCGUAGGACUAGCUAGUUGGUGUGGUAAAGGCGCACCAAGGCGACGAUCCUUAGCUGGUCUGAGAGGAUGAUCAGCCACACUGGGACUGAGACACGGCCCAGACUCCUACGGGAGGCAGCAGUGGGGAAUAUUGGACAAUGGGCGAAAGCCUGAUCCAGCAAUGCCGCGUGGGUGAUGAAGGCCUUAGGGUUGUAAAGCUCUUUUACCCGGGAUGAUAAUGACAGUACCGGGAGAAUAAGCUCCGGCUAACUCCGUGCCAGCCGCCGCAGUAA